rnacentral:lncRNA from 1 species
UUAAUUGUAGUUUUUUGUAGUUUAAUGUAAUUUCAUGUAAUUUUUAUUUGGAACUGUCACUGUUGACUCAAAUUUGUGUAUUUGUCUAUACCAAAGGAAGAUCUUACUGAUAUUGACAAACACCGUAGUGAACAAUUUUUCAUGAAUACUGAAUCACUGGAAACACUUCAUAUAACCUACAUCUGACUACAUUUUAAAAACAAUCUAGAAACACUUCAUAUAACCUUAGCUACAUUUGACUACAUUUUAAAAACAC